UGCAAUUGCAUUUUUCCACAGCUUUUCAGCAACUGAGUGGUUGAUCCAACGACUAGAAAUACUCUGCGCCAUAGUUCUCUCAUCCUCAGCCUUAGCCAUGGUUUUACUUCCCUUUGAAGCUUCUGACUCAGGAUAUAUUGGCAUGGCUCUAUCGUAUGCUCUUUCAUUGAACGUGUUCCUAGUUGCUUCGGUCCAAACCCAAUGCAUGCUAGAAAACGCCAUUAUUUCAGUAGAAAGAUUAGAGCAAUACAUGCAUAUUCCUAGCGAACACACUGAAUUUUUACAAGACAAUAGACCUG
rnacentral:misc_RNA from 1 species